rnacentral:rRNA from 1 species
CCGCCCGUCACAUCACGAAAGUGGGCUGUACUAGAAGUGGCUGCGCUAACCGCAAGGAGGCAGGUCACGACGGUAUGGUCCAUGAUUGGGGUG